rnacentral:rRNA from 1 species
UACAGAGGGGGCAAGCGUUGUUCGGAAUUACUGGGCGUAAAGGGCGCGUAGGCGGCCGCCUAAGUCAGACGUGAAAUCCCUCGGCUCAACCGGGGAACUGCGUCUGAUACUGGAUGGCUUGAGUUUGGGAGAGGGAUGCGGAAUUCCAGGUGUAGCGGUGAAAUGCGUAGAUAUCAGGAGGAACACCGGUGGCGAAGGCGGUUCUCUGGGCAUGACCUGACGCUGAGGAGCGAAAGCAUGGGGAGCGAACAGG